GACGAACGCUGGCGGCGUGCUUAACACAUGCAAGUCGAACGGAAAGGCCCUGCUUUUGUGGGGUGCUCGAGUGGCGAACGGGUGAGUAACACGUGAGUAACCUGCCCUUGACUUUGGGAUAACUUCAGGAAACUGGGGCUAAUACCGGAUAGGAGCUCCUGCUGCAUGGUGGGGGUUGGAAAGUUUCGGCGGUUGGGGAUGGACUCGCGGCUUAUCAGCUUGUUGGUGGGGUAGUGGCUUACCAAGGCUUUGACGGGUAGCCGGCCUGAGAGGGUGACCGGCCACAUUGGGACUGAGAUACGGCCCAGACUCCUACGGGAGGCAGCAGUGGGGAAUAUUGCACAGUGGGCGGAAGCCUGAUACAGCGACGCCGCGUGCGGGAUGACGGCCUUCGGGUUGUAAACCGCUUUCGCCUGUGACGAAGCGUGAGUGACGGUAAUGGGUAAAAAAGCACCGGCUAACUACGUG
rnacentral:rRNA from 1 species